UUCACAUGUCUAGGGACAGACGAGGACACGAGGGCCUUAAUCCCGUGGCGGUCGGUGCACAAAUCCCUCUUCACGGGGAAGAGGAACGCCUCCGUGACUGGAUUUGAGGUCUUCAUAAAGGAGAGCGGGCUUGGGAGGUUGGAUCCCAAGCUCGUGAAAAAGAGGUGGGAGAACCUCAUCCACAAAUAUAAGGAGCUCAAGAAACCCCGGACGGGUGUGAGCACAGAGGGGGGUGGGGUCACUGCUGCUUCUUGGAAGUGGUAUGCACUUAUGGAUGAGGCACUGGGGACCAGGCCAUCUGUGACCCCUCCAGUCCUCUUUGCCUCAUCCAGCCGGGAAGUGGCAGGGACCCCCCCCCCCCCCCCCCCCCCCCGCUGUGGUCACACCCCUCCCAAUCAGGAAUUUGAGUGGAGCUUCCUCCACAUUGUCAACCCCAAAAAGGCGGAGGGUAGACAAUGUGGAGGUUGCCAGGGUCAUAGAGGAAAAUGACAGGAGGAUCUCUGAGGCAUGGGCAGAGAUGGAACAGAGGCAGAGGAGGCCAGGGCGAGCGAGGCAAGAGAGUUUGCAGAGAGAGAGGAGCGGCGACACGGGGAGGCGGUUGCCUUAGAGGAGAGGAGGUUCAACUUUCUCAGAGAGAGUGAGGAGAGGAGGGAAAGAGAGGCAGCCGCCAGAGAGAGGGAGACAGCAGCAGAGAGGAGGGAGACGGCAGCGAGAGAGGAGCGGCGAGAGAGGGAGACAGCCGCCAGAAUGAGUGAGGCAGCUGCCAGAGAGGAGCGCCUCCUCACCCUUUUGGAGAGAAUUUCUGGACAAAAAUAAAGCCUGGUUACUUAAGAUUUAUGUACAUGUCUGUUUACUAACACUUAACCCGUAGGGGGCUGAGGCCUGU
ensembl:lncRNA